rnacentral:rRNA from 1 species
UACGUAGGGGGCAAGCGUUGUCCGGAUUUAUUGGGCGUAAAGAGCUCGUAGGCGGCUUGUCGCGUCGACUGUGAAAACUUGGGGCUCAACCCCAAGCUUGCAGUCGAUACGGGCAGGCUAGAGUUCGGUAGGGGAGACUGGAAUUCCUGGUGUAGCGGUGAAAUGCGCAGAUAUCAGGAGGAACACCGAUGGCGAAGGCAGGUCUCUGGGCCGAUACUGACGCUGAGGAGCGAAAGCGUGGGGAGCGAACAGG